rnacentral:rRNA from 1 species
GAUGAACGCUGGCGGCGUGCCUAAUACAUGCAAGUCGAGCGAACGGACGAGAAGCUUGCUUCUCUGAUGUUAGCGGCGGACGGGUGAGUAACACGUGGAUAACCUACCUAUAAGACUGGGAUAACUUCGGGAAACCGGCGCUAAUACCGUAUAAUAUUUUGAACCGCAUGGUUCAAAAGUGAAAGACGGUCUUGCUGUCACUUAUAGAUGGAUCCGCGCUGCAUUAGCUAGUUGGUAAGGUAACGGCUUACCAAGGCAACGAUGCAUAGCCGACCUGAGAGGGUGAUCGGCCACACUGGAACUGAGACACGGUCCAGACUCCUACGGGAGGCAGCAGUAGGGAAUCUUCCGCAAUGGGCGAAAGCCUGACGGAGCAACGCCGCGUGAGUGAUGAAGGUCUUCGGAUCGUAAAACUCUGUUAUUAGGGAAGAACAUAUGUGUAAGUAACUGUGCACAUCGUGACGGUACCUAAUCAGAAAGCCACGGCUAACUACGUG